rnacentral:rRNA from 1 species
UACAGAGGGUGCGAGCGUUGUUCGGAAUUAUUGGGCGUAAAGGGAGUGUAGGCUGUUUGGAAAGUCUUCUGUGAAAUCUACGGGCUUACCCUGUAAAGUGCAGAGGAAACUUCCAGGCUUGAGUGUCGGAGAGGACAGGGGAAUACCCAGUGUAGAGGUGAAAUUCGUAGAGAGUUGGGUGGAACACCAGUGGCGAAGGCGCCUGUCGUGGCUGACAACUGACGCUGAGACUCGAAAGCAUGGGGAGCAAACAGG